UACGUAGGGUGCGAGCGUUGUCCGGAAUUAUUGGGCGUAAAGAGCUUGUAGGCGGUCUGUCGCGUCUGCUGUGAAAAUCCGGGGCUCAACCCCGGACUUGCAGUGGGUACGGGCAGACUAGAGUGUGGUAGGGGAGACUGGAAUUCCUGGUGUAGCGGUGAAAUGCGCAGAUAUCAGGAGGAACACCGGUGGCGAAGGCGGCAUCCUGGACCGGCAUUGACGCUGAGGCGCGAAAGCCAGGGGAGCAAACGGG
rnacentral:rRNA from 1 species